rnacentral:rRNA from 1 species
GCCAGACUCCUACGGGAGGCAGCAGUGGGGAAUAUUGGGCAAUGGGCGCAAGCCUGACCCAGCAACGCCGCGUGAAGGAAGAAGGCUUUCGGGUUGUAAACUUCUUUUCUCAGGGACGAAGAAAGUGACGGUACCUGAGGAAUAAGCCACGGCUAACUACGUGCCAGCAGCCGCGGUAAUACGUAGGUGGCAAGCGUUAUCCGGAUUUACUGGGUGUAAAGGGCGUGUAGGCGGGAAAGCAAGUCAGAUGUGAAAACCAUGGGCUCAACCUGUGGCCUGCAUUUGAAACUGUUUUUCUUGAGUACUGGAGAGGCAGACGGAAUUCCUAGUGUAGCGGUGAAAUGCGUAGAUAUUAGGAGGAACACCAGUGGCGAAGGCGGUCUGCCGGACAGCAACUGACGCUGAGGCGCGAAAGCGUGGGGAGCAAACAGGAUUAGAUACCCGCGUA